rnacentral:rRNA from 1 species
UACGUAGGGUGCGAGCGUUAAUCGGAAUUACUGGGCGUAAAGCGUGCGCAGGCGGUUUUGUAAGCCAGAUGUGAAAUCCCCGGGCUUAACCUGGGAAUGGCAUUUGGGACUGCAAGGCUUGGAGUGUGGCAGAGGAGACUGGAAUUCCUGGUGUAGCAGUGAAAUGCGUAGAUAUCAGGAGGAACACCGAUGGCGAAGGCAGGUCUCUGGGCUGACACUGACGCUCAUGCACGAAAGCGUGGG